AUUGAACGCUGGCGGCAUGCCUUACACAUGCAAGUCGAACGGCAGCACGGGAGCAAUCCUGGUGGCGAGUGGCGAACGGGUGAGUAAUAUAUCGGAACGUGCCCAGUAGUGGGGGAUAACUGCUCGAAAGAGCAGCUAAUACCGCAUACGACCUGAGGGUGAAAGGGGGGGAUCGCAAGACCUCUCGCUAUUGGAGCGGCCGAUAUCAGAUUAGCUAGUUGGUGGGGUAAAGGCCUACCAAGCACACGACCGGUAGUUGGCCUGAGAGGACGCCCAGCCAACCUGGGCCUGGACAACGGCCCAGACCCCACCGGGAGGCACAGGUGGGGAAUUUUGGCCAAUGGGCGCAACCUUGACCCAGCAAUGCCGGUUGAAGGAAGAAGGCUUUCGGGUUGUAACUGCUUUUGUCAGGGAAGAAAUCCUCUAGGUUAAUACCCUUGGGGGGAUGACGGUACCUGAAGAAUAAGCACCGGCUAACUACGUGCCAGCAGCCGCGGUAAAAC
rnacentral:rRNA from 1 species